AACCGCCACCGUCUCAGCCUGAAGGCGCCCGAUCUCGUCUGAUCUCCGAAGCUAAGCAGGGUCGGGCCUGGUUAGUAUCUUGGAUGGGAGACCACCUGGGAAUCCCGGGUGCUCGAGGCUU
rnacentral:rRNA from 1 species